rnacentral:lncRNA from 1 species
GAGAUUUUUGUUCUAUCCAGGCUCUUGAACUGCAAGAACUGCUAGCCAGAGAAGGGGCUGACAUGAUUUGCGCCUUUCUGCACGUGAAUACCAAGCUAGAAACGGGGAACUUUCCACAAUCCACCAUCUCAUCUUGCUAUGGGCGUUUAUUGGACUUUUACACUGUGUAAUUUGGAGGUGAAGUGCAUGGCGGUGGUGGGCGUCCUGGGGAAACUUCUGCAUCGGUAUUUCCCACCACCCCUGUCUGUGGUUUUGUGCUGAGACUGCUGAGACUGCCGCCAUGCAGUUCCUUUGGAACUCAGAAGUGAAGAGUAGGUGACCAGAAGGCCUGUGCGCUGUUUCACACCGAGUUCUAGUGCUCUGUCAAGGCCCUAGCUGUGCUCUGUGGCUACCUCCCAGAGCUCCUCCAAGCAGUCAGCGGUGCGGCCUGUCCACGGGAAAACAGCGCCAAGUUGUUUUGCUUAACCAUCAUUGACAAAUUCUGUCUUAACGUCAGUCCAAGUCUACAGUCAGAGACAAAGGGUUGACACAGUCUGUCCCAUAACAAAAAUCUGAAAAAAAAA